AAACAGUUAAUGAAAGGGAGGACACUCAGCUUUAAACAGUUAAUGAAAGGGAGGACACAGCCCUCAAGUAGUUUAGUUGUAAGUACAGUCCAAAUAAACUCCACUAGACAGCUAUAAUCAGAUGAAGCUUCAAGCCUACAGUAUGUAUAAAGCAUACAAUUAAAUGUUAUAAAAUAUACAACAAAUAUGUGAAUGCUGACUUUAGACUUUGCCAUCAUAAAAAGGUGUAACCAGUUGCCCACAUAGGAUAUUGUAUAAAGACCAUUAAAUGUAAUGGAAUCUUGGUUUCAUUUCACAAAGUCUUCAACC